UACGUAGGGGCCGAGCGUUGUCCGGAUUCAUUGGGCGUAAAGGGCGCGUAGGCGGGAUGGCAAGUCGGUCGUGAAAUCCCUCGGCUCAACCGAGGAACGUCGAUCGAUACUGCUGUUCUUGAGGAUUGCAGAGGAGACUGGAAUUCCCGGUGUAGCGGUGAAAUGUGUAGAGAUCGGGAGGAACACCGGUGGCGAAGGCGGGUCUCUGGGCAAUUCCUGACGCUGAGGCGCGAAAGCGUGGGGAGCAAACGGG
rnacentral:rRNA from 1 species